CAUAUUUCUUCUUACAUACAAAUAUUACAUACGGAUUCUAAAAUAAAUAAUUAAAAAAAAUUAAAAAAACUAAACUUAAGACAAAACCUAAGAGUCAGACACUAAAUUUCUCCUAGAGCUCUUUUCUUCCCUUUCAUUGAACCCUUGUUCUUCCUUCUCAUCGAGUUAUUGUUCUCCAACCUUUCUUCUCUAGCCUUCCCGUCAUCAAGGCUUUCUUUUCAUCGAACCAUUUUCUUCAAGUCUUUCCUCUCCCUGUCUGGAACCAUCAUCUUCAUUCUCUGAACCAUCAUCUUCGUGUCUUGAACCCUAGGAGUCCCUGCCUCCAAUCAUGGCCCCCUGUCCCUGUGUGGUACCCUUGUUCAACGUCAACGAACCCUCGAUUUCUCACAGUGGAGCCCUAGGACUCUUAUUCUUGUACUCUGAGGUCAAUGCCACCUUCUUUCGGUCUCGGUGAGUUUGUGAUUUGGUCAGAAGAAGAAGUUUGGUUAUCUAACCUCCACCGUACACCUCUCUCUUGUUGGCUUUCCCUUGAAACCCUACCCUAAAAUUGAAAAAUCGGAAAACCCUAACUUGUUUGAAUGAGGGAUUGAAUGAGAAAUGGCGUCGAAGUUGAAAACGUGUUUUGUAUGGUGGAACCUGAGUGGCUUCAACUAUGUUAACCACUCUAAGGGAAAUGGUAGGAUAGUGCAAGUUUCAUUUCAAGGUUCUUGCUAAAUGCGACACCGAACCACUUUCAGCAGUUUGCAGAAUAAGAGGCAACGGAUCAAGCCUUCCAUUGAGGAAGUUCUCUGUCAAAAUCAAGAUGAGAAAGAAGAUUUAGAGGUUUCAUUCAAUAACUAAGAAACUCCAAGAACUUGUUAUCCAAACGAAAGAAUUGAAGCUUGAUUGAGGGAAUUUGAAUAGGUUUGCUAAGAAGGGAGCCUUAAUGUAUUUGAAUAUCAAUCACGAUAAACAUAUAUGGCCUACAAAGAACAGAGUGAACAUGAUGUUAUUUCUGCAUUUCUUGGUCUUUUAUCUUCUGCAACAAGAGAUGGCACCAGUACCUAAGGUUGGUGGGAUGUUGUCAGUGGUCUAGGUAAAGCACUGCAAAAGAAAGGACACCUUGUUGAAAUUGUGCUUCUCAAAUAUGAUUGUAUGCAAUAUGAUCAUGUAUGCAACUUACGGGUAUGCCAUUUCAUUAAGAAAAUAAUUGAACGUGCCGACACUAUCAUGGCUCCUCUGUAUUGGGAGAUAUUUGUACAUAAAGGAUUAAAUUCAGCUAGGAUAUGCUUACAUGCCACAACUUUGAGUAUUAGGGGACUGCAACAGCUUCAGAGUUAGACUAAUGGGUCUUGUUAGCGAGAAUCUAAAAAAAUCAGAUAAAAUCUGGGACAACUCAGCACAUGAUAGAGUUAAUUCUAAGCAAGAAAGGCAGGGACAUUGCUAUUGUCAUACUUGAUAUUCACGGAGUGGACUUUUACUCAUUGCUAUGGGAGUCACAUUGAAGAUGUUGCCAGAUAGCAAAUUCAGCAACAACAAUAGGGGGAACUCAGAGAAAAAUCCACUAGAGAUGAAGAGUUGGGGAAUCUGCCAAAUUCUGCAGGGGGAAAAUGAUGAAAGGAGGCCUUUGGUAUAGCUUAUUGUCUUCUAAAUGAAAGUAUUUUUUUUAAGUUAUUAUUUUUAAAUUCACAAUUUCUUUGUUAUUUUCAUGUCAUGUGAAAGGAAAAAUAAAAUAAUUUUAUGUAUACAGGAUAAUUUCUUUGUUAUUGUAAGUUUGUUAGUCUUUUGAUACAUGAUAAGAUAUAUACAUGAUAUUGCCACCA